AAGGUAACGGCUUACCAAGGCAACGAUGCAUAGCCGACCUGAGAGGGUGAUCGGCCACACUGGAACUGAGACACGGUCCAGACUCCUACGGGAGGCAGCAGUAGGGAAUCUUCCGCAAUGGGCGAAAGCCUGACGGAGCAACGCCGCGUGAGUGAUGAAGGUCUUCGGAUCGUAAAACUCUGUUAUUAGGGAAGAACAUAUGUGUAAGUAACUGUGCACAUCUUGACGGUACCUAAUCAGAAAGCCACGGCUAACUACGUGCCAGCAGCCGCGGUAAUACGUAGGUGGCAAGCGUUAUCCGGAAUUAUUGGGCGUAAAGCGCGCGUAGGCGGUUUUUUAAGUCUGAUGUGAAAGCCCACGGCUCAACCGUGGAGGGUCAUUGGAAACUGGAAAACUUGAGUGCAGAAGAGGAAAGUGGAAUUCCAUGUGUAGCGGUGAAAUGCGCAGAGAUAUGGAGGAACACCAGUGGCGAAGGCGACU
rnacentral:rRNA from 1 species